UUCUUUUCUCACAUUUUUGCCCACCCCCAGGGGAAUUAGGGAGAGUCCUGAUGCUGUGCCAGCACUGCUCAGCAGCAGACACAGCACUGGUGUGAUACCAUUGCUGUUUUAGCUACGAGUGCAGAGCACAGCACUGUAUGGGCUGCUGCAGGGAAAGUUAACAUCCCAGCCUGACCCAGUACAUGGUGCCUGAUGUAAUCCUCUGUGAUGUUUGCGAUUCUGGCUCAGCACAUGGGCACCAGAUGAGGCAGAGCAUACUGCAGCUAACCUAAGACACUGCUUUACCUCAGUGAUUCACAUCAGCACUUCCAAA
rnacentral:lncRNA from 1 species